GUGCUCGCUUCAGCAGAACAUAUACUAAAAUUGGAAUGAUGCAGAGAAAGAUUUUGCAUGCCCCUGUACAAGAAUGACAUGCAAAUUUGUGAAGCAUUCCAUAUUUUU
rnacentral:snRNA from 1 species